AUACUCUGGUUUCUCUUCAGAUCGUAUAAAUCUUUCGCCUUUUACUAAAGAUUUCCGUGGAGAGGAACAAGCACGAGUGUCGUG
rnacentral:snRNA from 1 species